ensembl:snoRNA
ACUUUAUUGUAUAAGCACUGUGCUAAAAUUACAAAAACUAGGACCAUAUCUUGUUUUUGUAAUAAUGCUAGCAGAGUGAGACAGGAAGAAAAGUAAUUGCACUAGAUUGUGAAGACUGGGGUAGACCUGUUUGUUAAUGUCCAGUGUCCUUUGUCUUAAGAUUUGGUGUAGUAAAU